CAUGAAGCCGGAAUCGCUAGUAAUCGCGGAUCAGAAUGCCGCGGUGAAUACGUUCCCGGGUCUUGUACACACCGCCCGUCACACCAUGGGAGCCGGGAAUGCCCGAAGUCAGUGGCCCAACCGCGAGGGGGGAGCUGCCGAAGGCAGGCCCGGUGACUGGGGUGAAGUCGUAACAAGGUAUC
rnacentral:rRNA from 1 species